rnacentral:rRNA from 1 species
GACGAACGCUGGCGGCGUGCCUAACACAUGCAAGUCGAACGGGCAGUAAGAUUUCGGUUUUACUGCUAGUGGCGAACGGGUGAGUAACGCGUGAACAACCUGUCCUUCUGAGGGGGAUAACACCUGGAAACAAGUGCUAAUACCGCAUAAGACCACAGAGCCGCAUGGUUCAGGGGUCAAAGGAGCAAUCCGCAGAAGGAGGGGUUCGCGUCCCAUUAGGUAGUAGGCGGGGUAACGGCCCACCUAGCCAACGAUGGGUAGCCGAGCUGAGAGGCUGAUCGGCCACACUGGAACUGAGACACGGGCCAGACGCCUACGGGGGGCAGCAGUGGGGAAUAUUGGGCAAUGGGCGAAAGCCUGACCCAGCAGCGCCGCGGGAGGGAAGAAGGUCUUCGGAUUGUAAACCUCUGUCCUUGGUGACGAAGGAAGUGACGGUAGCCAAGGAGGAAGCCCCGGCUAACUACGUGCCAGCAGCCGCCGUAA